AAAUUAUUGACGGGCGGCAAUGGCCGCGGCUGUGUUGAAAGUUGCACAUUUCUCUGCGGAUACUGCAUUAUAAACGUUGAUAUUUUCACCACGUGCUAUAUAACCAAAAUGCGCACCUUGGAUGUACAUGUUAAAUGCACACAGAGCUGUUUAGAGAGAGUUCCUGAAAGUUUCAAAUAGUUCCAGCGGGUCUGUUAUUUUUUUUUCUCUUUACACGCAUUUCAACAAUCUGUGACGGAGAAUGUGCUGAUGCGCGUGCGUGUGUGAGAGAGAUGAGUCCCACAUGUCAACGCAGGUUGCUGCAGGAAAGACAAAGAGAUUGCUGGCGGCUAUAAAUGCAGGAGUUUUACCAGGCAUUAAUGGAGCAGUCUUGCCAGGCAUUAAUGGAGGACUGUUGCCAGGAGUUAAUGGAGGACUGUUGCCAGGUGUUAAUGGAGGACUGUUGCCAGGCAUUAAUGGAGGACUGUUGCCAGGAGUUAAUGGAGGACUGUUGCCAGUUAUGAAUGGAGGACUUGGAAAUGGCGUAAACCCCGGGCUCAUCGCUGGAAGGCUGAACCCACCUAUGGUAGCUGGUGGUGGGGCAGGUUUUAUGGGACAGCCCCAGUUUGCUCAGUUUGUUCCUGCUGCUCAAGCCUUUGCACCUCGUCCACAAAUCCCCAAUCCGUAUUCUUUCCCAGCAUUCAACGUGCCACUUUUCAAUGGAGUUCCUCAGAUGGGCCCUAUGAAUCCAGCUCAGCAGCCUUUGAUGGUAAACACUCCUUCUGUCUGUUACAGUUUCUGA
rnacentral:lncRNA from 1 species